GUGGGGUUAUAGCCCAGUGGUAGAGCGCUUGGCCUUGUAUGCAUGAGGCCCUGGGUUUGAUCUCCAGCACCACA
rnacentral:tRNA from 1 species